rnacentral:lncRNA from 1 species
AUAUCAGCAGGAUAACAGUUAUCCUCAGUUAUCCUAUCCUGUGUUUGGUGCACACAGGAUAACAAACAUGAUAACUAUUAUAUCAUAUUUUUAAUACAUGUUUGCUCAUACCAAUAUGAUAAGAUACAUAACAUAUUUAAAUGAUAAAAUUACCCUCGUAAAACAAUUGUUAUUUGUUAAAAAUUAUAUUGUAAUACUUUGAAUUUUAUAAAUAAAAAUAUAAAUAAGUAAU